rnacentral:rRNA from 1 species
GACGAACGCUGGCGGCGUGCUUAACACAUGCAAGUCGAACGGAAAGGCCCUGCUUUUGUGGGGUGCUCGAGUGGCGAACGGGUGAGUAACACGUGAGUAACCUGCCCUUGACUUUGGGAUAACUUCAGGAAACUGGGGCUAAUACCGGAUAGGAGCUCCUGCUGCAUGGUGGGGGUUGGAAAGUUUCGGCGGUUGGGGAUGGACUCGCGGCUUAUCAGCUUGUUGGUGGGGUAGUGGCUUACCAAGGCUUUGACGGGUAGCCGGCCUGAGAGGGUGACCGGCCACAUUGGGACUGAGAUACGGCCCAGACUCCUACGGGAGGCAGCAGUGGGGAAUAUUGCACAAUGGGCGGAAGCCUGAUGCAGCAACGCCGCGUGCGGGAUGACGGCCUUCGGGUGGUAAACCGCUUUCGCCUGUGACGAAGCGUGAGUGACGGUAAUGGGUAAAGAAGCACCGGCUAACUACGCG